AAAGUACUCCCUCCGUCCCAAAUUCUUGUUUUCAAUUUGUCUAGAUACGGAUGUAUCUAAUACUAAAACAUGACCCGAUACAUCCGUAUCUAGACAAAUUUAAGACAAGAAUUUUGAGACGGAAGGAGUAGAAC
rfam:Triticum aestivum genome assembly, contig: Triticum_aestivum_CS42_TGACv1_scaffold_307435_4AS